rnacentral:rRNA from 1 species
UACGAAGGGGGCUAGCGUUGCUCGGAAUGACUGGGCGUAAAGCGUGCGCAGGCGGUUCGCUGUGUCCGAUGUGAAAGCCCCGGGCUUAACCUGGGAAUGGCAUUGGAAACUGGCGGGCUUGAGUGUGGCAGAGGGAGGUGGAAUUCCACGUGUAGCAGUGAAAUGCGUAGAGAUGUGGAGGAACACCGAUGGCGAAGGCAGCCUCCUGGGCCAGCACUGACGCUCAUGCACGAAAGCGUGGGGAGCAAACAGG